rnacentral:lncRNA from 1 species
GAAAGGCUUGUACAAAAAUCUAAACAAAUCAUGAAGACUGCAUUCUCGUUUUAGAAAUCUUUACUUUUAAUUGAAUGUUUUUACUUCCAGUAUAUUCUGAUCAUGGUUUUCCCCCACCCAUAUCCUUUAUUUUACUCCUCAGCUACCUCAAAAACUUAAUAAAGCCAGAAAGAUUAUCAGUGCAAGCCUGUGGCUAUCUGAGUCCAUUUCCACCCCAACCAGAAGCAAGUGCAAGGUGCUUCAAGCAGGAUUUACAGAAGGCCACAAAGUGUCCACGAGUCCCACAUCUUUUCCACCUAAGGCCAUUGUCUUUGACUUUUGUUGUCACAAAGAAGUCAGCAGCUGUUUGUGCAACGGAGGGAGGAAACCAUCUCCUGCUGUUCCCUGAGUCGUGACAGAAACAAAAAGGGAAAAGACAAUGCAAUUUUUGCUCCUCUGGCCUCCCCAUAUUUGGUCAGGUACUGACUUAUGUGGCCCAAUAGUACUGCCUCGGGGAAAACAGACACAGGCAUUCUCAGGCAUCAGAGCCCACCUGAUGGCUUUCAUGAUGGUGACAGUCCCUUGACAGUAGAUAUGAAGCUACUCACUUGCCUAGAAGUUAUGGGAAAGACCACCAGAAGACAAAAAGAUUGGUUGUUAAGGCUAAGAAUCCAUUCAUCUCGGAGAUGUUUACAUCAGAAAAAGUACAGAAGCUGUUCUCAGAAGCCCACAUUGCAGAACAGUCAGCUGCAGCGUGUGAAGAAGCGAUUUCAUUUCCAUGGCAGCCAGAGUCCAGACGCUCGAGCUUUAUAGAUUAAAAUCAAUGCCUGAAUUGCAUUCACAAAGCCUGAAUUGCCUGUCAGACUUCAGGACCAGCCGCACAACGUGAUAAAUGAGGUGAAGAGCCCUGUCCAGGCCUGGGAGUGUGUGCUGCAUUAGUGAAGACUUUGGUUUCUUUUUCAAAGCAAAUACCAAAUGGAAU